ACUCCUCAGCCUUUUCAAGUGUAGUACCUGUUCUUUUCAGGUUAACAUCUAAUAUAUUCUCUAAGGACAAUACAUUAAGUAGUCAUGGUGAUUUUGUCACUAGGAUAAUAGAUGGGAACUUGCUUUGUUCACUCUACAUGUAGACCUAGUACUGCAGUAUCUUCAGGAAAAUCUAAACCUCG